AAGUCGUAACAAGGUUUCCGUAGGUGAACCUGCGGAAGGAUCAUUAUUGAAUCUUCUAAACCUUCUGUUUCUCUUAGAAACGUGAAGCACCCCUUUGUGCACUCGACAUUUGACGCUGCUUUCCCCGGUUUCGGUCGGGGGAAGAGCAAAACAAAACAACUUUACUAUUUUCCACAUCAUUCAAUGAAUGACUUAACCAAAAAAUAAAACAAAACUUUCAACAACGGAUCUCUUGGCUU
rnacentral:misc_RNA from 1 species